GGCUCAGAUUGAACGCUGGCGGAAUGCUUUACACAUGCAAGUCGAACGGUAGAGGGGGCAACCCCUCGAGAGUGGCGAACGGGUGAGUAAUAUAUCGGAACGUGCCCAGUCGUGGGGGAUAACGUAGCGAAAGUUACGCUAAUACCGCAUACGAUCUAUGGAUGAAAGCGGGGGAUCGCAAGACCUCGCGCGAUUGGAGCGGCCGAUAUCAGAUUAGGUAGUUGGUGGGGUAAAGGCUCACCAAGCCAACGAUCUGUAGCUGGUCUGAGAGGACGACCAGCCACACUGGAACUGAGACACGGUCCAGACUCCUACGGGAGGCAGCAGUGGGGAAUUUUGGACAAUGGACGCAAGUCUGAUCCAGCCAUGCCGCGUGCAGGAUGACGGUCCUAUGGAUUGUAAACUGCUUUUGUACAGGAAGAAACACUCCCUCGUGAGGGAGCUUGACGGUACUGUAAGAAUAAGGAUCGGCUAACUCCGUG
rnacentral:rRNA from 1 species